CUCGCAAGAGUGAACUAGCUAACUGAAAUCAUUAUGAGUCAUUAAUUUGGUGAUUAUGAUAACAUAAGGGAAAAAAAAUGAUAUUACCUUAUUAUUAGUGUUGUCCAAAACUGGUGCCAGAAGACUCGGUAAGACCAGAGACGCAAACGUUAGUCAUCUUAAUCAGGCGUAAAGGGUGUGUAGGCUGCUUUAAAAGUUUAAAUCUUUUUAAUAGCUCUUUUGCCGUUGUCCUGCCAUUAUUUAUUUUAUUUAUAAAUAAUAAACAAUAAUGAAUAUAAAGGCAGUACAUUUUUUAAUUUUAUUAAUUUAAUUUAAUAAUUAUAAAGGGGACAAAAAAGAUAUCCCGGUUUAAGUAAAAAGAAUAAAAUGAAUUAAAGCUAGAAUCAAAUUGAGGAUAAACCAAAUAAUACUUAGAGUAGGGCCGAUAUCCGCAGAUACUAAGGGGAAUACUAAAGGUGAAAGCUUUUUAUCUACUAUUGAUUGACGCUGAGAAACGAAGGUGAGAACAGGAAAUAGGAUUUGAUACCCAGAUACCUCUCACUGUCAACGAUGAAUGGUGGUUGUUAGUUUUAAUAAAAACUGGUAACGAUGUUAACACGAUAACCAUUCCGCCUUGCGAGUACGGUUGCAAAACUGAAACCAAAAAAAUUAGUCGGUUUCGAAGCAAACGAAGUGAAGCAU
rnacentral:rRNA from 1 species